CAGCAGACACACAGUAACCUUAAGUAUUUUUUGGUCUCACCUAACAGCUAGGAAAACCCAGGCUACACUUCACUGAGAUCAAUGGAGACAGACCCGUGCAAAGAGGGAAAUAAUGCUUUUAGUAUUUUGGAUGUGUCUAAGGGCUGUGUUUAACCACAGCUGGUUUACCAGACUGUGACUGAACAAGCCUAAUUUUACCUGCUUAGCAUGGUCAGUACAAGGUACUGCCUUUGUGCACCUACAUUUGGAAAAUAAAUUACUUUUAUUUAAACACUGUCCAUAAUAUCUGAAGCUGGCUGAGGAAAUUCCUUCCAUCAUUAGUACUUCCCGCAUUGUCAUUAGCUACUGCUCAAUCUUUUUCAGUCUUGACACCUUUAAAUUUUACCUUUCUGCAGUUCCAGUCCCCUGUUAGGCUGUCGGUUCCCCACUGGAUGGCAGUCCCUGCAACCUUAUUCACUCUGGGAAGGAAAGUCCAGCUUUGAAGCAGCAAGCUGAAAUCUCAGACUGCUCUCUAGAUGAAUAUGUACGUGAAAUGCCACAGCUGAGACCUCUAAAUGGAACAUGGUUCAUUGAAAGUGAAAUUUCCUUGGUGCCAUCUUUGAGUCAUGGGUACCUCCUCUUCAACAUCAUCUGCAAAAUUCUGUGCAAGGCAACAACUUAUUUAAUGUUGUCUGAUAUAAGCAUAGAGGAGAGACUGCAAUUUGGGAUGUUUACACUGCUGUUGCAGAUUGUACAGGAAAUAAAUUAUGCAGACAUAGAUACUUAAUGCAGCAGUAAUAAUGUUAGUUAGAAAGCCUCACUUUGAAUUUGAAAAGAAAAUAGAAGACACCAGAGUAAGGAGAUUGGCCAAAAGACUCUAUCAAAUGUUAGUCUGUGUAAGCCAGAGUCCUAUUGGUCUCCAGCUAUGCUUCUGAGUCAGCUUGCUGGAUUAGGAGUGCCAGAUCCUGCUUUGCCUCUUAGUGCAUGUCAAUAUUGGAACAAGCCAUAAAAAGGCAGGUUCUGUUUCACAAAUACCUCCAAAUCUUUCAAAACUUUUGAAACCUUCUGAAACUUGUAACCAGCUAUGGCUGUUGAAACCUCUGCUUGCAGAGUGGAAAGGUCAGUCUUUCUAUUUAAGUGUAUCUCUUUUAUGUACACUGGACUUGCAAAAUCUAGUCAAAAACGUUGAAACUGAUAAUUUGAACAAAUGUGUUUGGUUUGACAAAGCAGUUUCUGAAGUAAAAUCUAUUCUUUAAACAGUCUUGCUGUAGUUCCAACAUAA
rnacentral:lncRNA from 1 species